rnacentral:rRNA from 1 species
ACCCUGCCCCGAGGCAGAUGGAGAGCUCGGCGUUCACUUACCUAAGGUGAGAGCGUUAACCUUUGGGGUUCUACAGGAGAGGAGAAAAGGAAAGUGAUAGGGACACCCCAAUAACCCCAGUUCAUUAAUCCCAUAUUUUCUAUCUGCAGACAUCUUACUCUUCGAGUCAGGCAUACAGUGCACAGAGGUCCAGCCCAAAGAGCCAACCGGGUGGUGCACAUCACUUUUGAAGAUACGGUAGUCGCCCAGUCAAGACCGGCGCCUCUGCGAGAAUCAGGUGAGCGUUACACAUUCUUGGACAGGUGCAAGAUGAACCAAAGCAAAAGCAUUUGCCAAGAAUGUUUUCAUUAAUCAAGAACGAAAGUCAGAGGUUCGAAGAUAAGAUACCUUUGUAGUUCCAACCAUAGACAAUGCCAACUAGCGAACCGGUGGCGUUAUUCCCAUGACCUGCCGAGCAGCUUCCGGGAAACCAAAGUCUUUGGGUUCCGGGGGGGAGUAUGGUUGCAAAGCUGAAAUUUAAAGAAAUUGACAGAAGGGCACCACCAGGAGUGAAGUCUCCUUCUUUUGACUCAACACGGGAACCCUCACCCAGUUAGGACACAAAGUAACAACCGAUUGAUAGCUCUUUUGAUUCUGUGGGUAGUGGCGCAUGUCUGUUGUUAGUUAGUGGAGCGAGUUGUCUGGUUAAUUCCAAUAAUGAAUGAGAUUCCUGCAUGCUAACUAGUUAUGCAACCCCCAACGGUCGGCAUUCAACUUAUUUAAAAAAGAAAAAAUAUUUUUAUUGGCAUUUCAAAUUUGAGAAAAAUUGAACAUAUUCCCAACCCAGUUUAAACCCAACCCUUACCCUCUCGUCCCAUCCCUCCCACCCCCCAACCACUAUUAUAUGAUAUCCACAUAGAAUCAAAGUCUAUGCGAUGCCUAAAGUCGGGUCAGCUAAUAUUAUCCCCACCAAUAAUAUCGCCAUAUAUAUGGUCGUCGGGAAGGGCCAUAGGCGAUAUUAUUAGUGGGGAUCAUUUUUGGGGUAAAUGGGAGUGGGAGUUGCGGGGUGUCCGCCGCUACCUUUAAAAUAAUAUGGAGGUUGCGAGGGGGUCCCCAGCAGGUUCAAUGGGUUAAUAUUACCGCAAUAAUACCCCGCCAUACAUGGCGAUAUUUUUGCAGGAUACAUGGAGCCCUAAAAACCGCAGUUUGUGUAGUCAAAGUGCAAAGUUAUAGUCAACUUGCAAAAACCAUUCCCUAUUCCUUUGUAAAAGCGUUCAACUUCUAAGAGGGGCAAGUGGCACUCAGCCACCGGAGAUCAAACAAUACAGAUCUGUGAUGCUCUUAGAUGUCCGGUGCGGGGACAGCACCUUCGCAGUCUCCAGUACAGCAAUGCAAACGAUCCCAGAGAAACUGGCGGGAGCCCUGGGAGAGUUCUCCUUUCUUUGUGAAGGGCAGGGCACCCUGGAAUGGGUUCACCCCGAGAGAGGGCCCAUGCCUUGGAAAGCGUUGCGGUUCUGGCAGCGUCUCGUGAGCUCUCGCUGGUGCUUAAAAAUCUGAGGAGAGAUGGUGUAAAUCUUGUGCUGGGCUGUACCCCUAUCCGCAGCAGGUCUCCAAGGUGAACAGCCUCUGGCAUAUGUAAGGGAAGUCUGCAAGUCAGAUCCGUAACUUUGGGAUAAGGUUUGGCUCUAAGGGCUGGGUCAGUCGGGCUGGGGCGCGAAGCGGGGAUGGGCGCGCAAUGUGGCUGGACAAGGCCUCGUCUGCUGCCUCCCCCCCGGGCUGGGCCAACACUAGAUGAGAGCCGGGCCCUUCCUGUGGGGUUGCCCAACUGUGGUAGACGCCUCUCUGUUCCCCUCCUGGAGUUCAGGGCUGGGCUUCUGUCUUGGCCGAUGGAACUGGUGCGUACCAGGGGAAUCCAACUGUUUAAUUAAAACAAAGCAUUGCAAAGGCCCGCGGCAGGUCUUGGUGCGAUGUGAUUUCUGCCCAGUGCUCACAAUGUCAAAGUGAAGAAAUUCAAUGAAACACAGGUAAACAUCAGGAGUAACUAUGACUCUCUUUUAAGGUAGCCAAAUACCUUGUCAUCUAAUUAGUGACGGGCAGGAAUGGAUGAACGAUAUUAUUGUUGUCCCUGCCUACUAUCUAGUGAAACCACAGCCAAUGGAACGGGUUUGACAGAACGCACGGGCAAAGAAGGCCACGUUGGGCAUGACUCUAGUCUGGCAGUGUGAAAUGACAUGAAAGGUACAGGAUAAGUGGAAGGCCCUCGAGCCGCCAGUGAAAUACCACUACGCUUGUCAGUUUUUCACUUACCUGGUGAAACAUGGGGGCCGAGCAACAUGGGGCCGAGCCACAUGGGCCGAGCCACAAGGGGCCGAGCCACGUGGGGCUCUCGCUUCUGGCUCCAAUGGCCUGGCACCUGCUUGGCGCAUCCCACUCUGGGGACAGUGGGAGAUGUGGAGUUUUACUGGGGCGGUAAACCUGUCCAAUUAUAAUGCAGAUGUCCAAAUGCAAGCUCAUGGAGGGCAGAAACCUCCCACGGAGCAGAAGGGCAAACGCUUGCUUGAUCUCGAUCUUCAGGAUUACUAGAGACCAUAAAAGCAGGUCUCGUGAUCCUUCCAACUUUUUGGGUUUCAAGCAGGUGUCAGAAAAAUUACGGCAGGCAUAACUGGCUUGUGGCGGGCAAGCAUUCAUAACGACAUUCCUGUUACUGUGAAGCAGAAUUCACCAAGCGUUGAAUUGUUCACCCACUAAUAGGGAACGUGAGCUGGAUUUAGACCGUCGUGAUACAGGUUUGUUUUACCCUACUGAUGUGGUGUUGCAAUAAUAAUCCUGCGCAGUACAAGAAGAACCGUAGGUUCAGCCAUUUGGUGUAUGUGGUUGGCUGAGGAGCCAGUGGGGCGAAGCUACCAUCUGUGGGAUUAUGACUGAAUGCCUUUAAAUCUGAAUAAUCCCUAAACAGUAACGAUACCGCAGCACUGUGGAGCCUCGGUUGGCCUACGAUAGCUGGCCUCUGGGCUGGUGCAUAGAGCUGCGCGCCUUGUGACUUGUGUGGACAGAAAGGGGCCACUUCUCUCACCCAUAGUGCACCACAUGUUC